rnacentral:rRNA from 1 species
AUUGAACGCUGGCGGCAGGCCUAACACAUGCCAGUCGAACGGUAACAGGAAACAGCUUGCUGUUUCGCUGACGAGUGGCGGACGGGUGAGUAAUGUCUGGGAAACUGCCUGAUGGAGGGGGAUAACUACUGGAAACGGUAGCUAAUACCGCAUAACGUCGCAGGACCAAAGAGGGGGACCCUCGGGCCUCUUGCCAUCGGAUGUGCCCAGAUGGGAUUAGCUUGUUGGUGGGGUAACGGCUCACCAAGGCGACGAUCCCUAGCUGGUCUGAGAGGAUGACCAGCCACACUGGAACUGAGACACGGUCCAGACUCCUACGGGAGGCAGCAGUGGGGAAUAUUGCACAAUGGGCGCAAGCCUGAUGCAGCCAUGCCGCGUGUAUGAAGAAGGCCUUCGGGUUGUAAAGUACUUUCAGCGGGGAGGAAGGGAGUAAAGUUAAUACCUUUGCUCAUUGACGUUACCCGCAGAAGAAGCACCGGCUAACUCCGUG